rnacentral:rRNA from 1 species
AACGAACGCUGGCGGCGUGCUUAACACAUGCAAGUCGAACGCGAAAGGGGAUUUCGGUUCCCGAGUAGAGUGGCGCACGGGUGAGUAACGCGUAAGUAAUCUACCCUGGUAUCUGGAAUAACUCAUCGAAAGGUGUGCUAAUACCGGAUACGCUGGAGACAGGAAAGGAGGCCUCUGCAUAUGCUUCCGUACUGGGAUGAGCUUGCGUACCAUUAGCUAGUAGGUAGGGUAAUGGCCUACCAAGGCAACGAUGGUUAGCGGGUCUGAGAGGAUGAUCCGGCACACUGGAACUGGAACACGGACCGGACUCCUACGGGAGGCAGCAGUGAGGAAUAUUGCGCAAUGGGGGCAACCCUGACGCAGCGACGCCGCGUGGAUGAUGAAGGCCUUCGGGUCGUAAAAUCCUGUCAGAUGGAAAGAACGGCCUUUGUGCUAAUAUCACAGAGGAAUGACGGUACCAUCAAAGGAAGCACCGGCUAACUCCGUGCCAGCCGCCGCGGUAA